UGCAGUCGAACGCUUCUUUUUCCACCGGAGCUUGCUCCACCGGAAAAAGAAGAGUGGCGAACGGGUGAGUAACACGUGGGUAACCUGCCCAUCAGAAGGGGAUAACACUUGGAAACAGGUGCUAAUACCGUAUAACAAUCAAAACCGCAUGGUUUUGAUUUGAAAGGCGCUUUCGGGUGUCGCUGAUGGAUGGACCCGCGGUGCAUUAGCUAGUUGGUGAGGUAACGGCUCACCAAGGCCACGAUGCAUAGCCGACCUGAGAGGGUGAUCGGCCACAUUGGGACUGAGACACGGCCCAAACUCCUACGGGAGGCAGCAGUAGGGAAUCUUCGGCAAUGGACGAAAGUCUGACCGAGCAACGCCGCGUGAGUGAAGAAGGUUUUCGGAUCGUAAAACUCUGUUGUUAGAGAAGAACAAGGAUGAGAGUAACUGUUCAUCCCUUGACGGUAUCUAACCAGAAAGCCACGGCUAACUACGUGCCAGCAGCCGCGGUAAUACGUAGGUGGCAAGCGUUGUCCGGAUUUAUUGGGCGUAAAGCGAGCGCAGGCGGUUUCUUAAGUCUGAUGUGAAAGCCCCCGGCUCAACCGGGGAGGGUCAUUGGAAACUGGGAGACUUGAGUGCAGAAGAGGAGAGUGGAAUUCCAUGUGUAGCGGUGAAAUGCGUAGAUAUAUGGAGGAACACCAGUGGCGAAGGCGGCUCUCUGGUCUGUAACUGACGCUGAGGCUCGAAAGCGUGGGGAGCAAACAGGAUUAGAUACCCUGGUAGUCCACGCCGUAAACGAUGAGUGCUAAGUGUUGGAGGGUUUCCGCCCCUUCAGUGCUGCAGCUAACGCAUUAAGCACUCCGCCUGGGGAGUACGACCGCAAGGUU
rnacentral:rRNA from 1 species